GAUGAACGCUGGCGGCGUGCCUAAUACAUGCAAGUCGAGCGAACAGACGAGGAGCUUGCUCCUCUGACGUUAGCGGCGGACGGGUGAGUAACACGUGGAUAACCUACCUAUAAGACUGGGAUAACUUCGGGAAACCGGAGCUAAUACCGGAUAAUAUAUUGAACCGCAUGGUUCAAUAGUGAAAGACGGUUUUGCUGUCACUUAUAGAUGGAUCCGCGCCGCAUUAGCUAGUUGGUAAGGUAACGGCUUACCAAGGCAACGAUGCGUAGCCGACCUGAGAGGGUGAUCGGCCACACUGGAACUGAGACACGGUCCAGACUCCUACGGGAGGCAGCAGUAGGGAAUCUUCCGCAAUGGGCGAAAGCCUGACGGAGCAACGCCGCGGGAGUGAUGAAGGUCUUCGGAUCGUAAAACUCUGUUAUUUGGGAAGAACAAAUGUGUAAGUAACUAUGCACGUCUUGACGGUACCUAAUCAGAAAGCCACGGCUAACUACGUG
rnacentral:rRNA from 1 species